GUCCACGCCGUAAACUAUGGGUGCUAGCCGUUGGGAAGCUUGCUUUUCAGUGGCGCAGCUAACGCAUUAAGCACCCCGCCUUGGGAGUACGGUCGCAAGAUUAAAACUCAAAGGAAUUGACGGGGGCCCCGCACAAGCGGUGGAGCAUGUGGUUUAAUUCGAAGCAACGCGCAGAACCUUACCUACCCUUGACAUGUCUAGUAUGUGCACCGGAGACGGAGUCCUUCAGUUCGGCUGGCUAGAACACAGGUGCUGCAUGGCUGUCGU
rnacentral:rRNA from 1 species